rnacentral:tRNA from 1 species
GGUGCCUUGGAGAAGUGGUUAACUCACUCCCUUUGGGCAUACCUAAAUUGGGAGAGGUCAGGGGUUCGAACCCCCUAGGCAUCA